GACGAACGCUGGCGGCGUGCCUAAUACAUGCAAGUUGAGCGCUGAAGGUUGGUACUUGUACCAACUGGAUGAGCAGCGAACGGGUGAGUAACGCGUGGGGAAUCUGCCUUUGAGCGGGGGACAACAUUUGGAAACGAAUGCUAAUACCGCAUAAAAACUUUAAACACAAGUUUUAAGUUUGAAAGAUGCAAUUGCAUCACUCAAAGAUGAUCCCGCGUUGUAUUAGCUAGUUGGUGAGGUAAAGGCUCACCAAGGCGAUGAUACAUAGCCGACCUGAGAGGGUGAUCGGCCACAUUGGGACUGAGACACGGCCCAAACUCCUACGGGAAGCAGCAGUAGGGAAUCUUCGGAAAUGGACGAAAGUCUGACCGAGCAACGCCGCGUGAGUGAAGAAGGGUUUCGGAUCGUAAAACUCUGUUGGUAGGGAAGAACGUUGGUGAGAGUGGAAAGCUCAUCAAGUGACGGUAACUACACAGAAAGGGACGGCUAACUACGUG
rnacentral:rRNA from 1 species